UUUACCUACGGGGGGCAGCAGUGAGGAAUAUUGGUCAAUGGGCGGGAGCCUGAACCAGCCAAGUCGCGUGAGGGAAGACGGUCCUACGGAUUGUAAACCUCUUUUGCCGGGGAGCAACGGGGUCCUUGCGAGGGCCCAAUGAGAGUACCCGGAGAAAAAGCAUCGGCUAACUCCGUGCCAGCAGCCGCGGUAAUACGGAGGAUGCGAGCGUUAUCCGGAUUUAUUGGGUUUAAUGGGUGCGCAGGCGGAUUUUUAAGUCAGCGGUCAAAUCGUGGGGCUCAACCCCAUCCAGCCGUUGAAACUGG
rnacentral:rRNA from 1 species